GCGAUUUAACAGUGACAAAUUAGAUAGAAGUGACAUAUUGCAAAAAGCUUCGAAAUCUUACUUGCAUCAAUUUAUUUCGUCUCAUGAAAACAUUUAGCGUUAACUACCAAUUGAGAAUAGUCACCACCUUGCAGAUCGAGGAAGGUGAGAACCGCGACCCGGAAAUGACCGCGGGGCUCGACGCAAACAGUGCCACCACUAACGGCGCACCCGGUAGGAAGACCGACGAUGGUGUCUUCACGGUUUCCGUAACUGGUGCAUAUGAAAAUGAUGGUUUUAAGGUAAGUGUUACGAACAACGACGAAAUAGUACGACUGUUUAAAAUAAACGUGGCAACAAGUUUCCGCGGAACGAAGAAAAUAAUAUCGCCCUAGAGGGGUACCAAGCAUUGCCGGGUCUCGCCUCUUCAGCGGUGCAAUGGCAGAGAAUCGAAAGAGUUGUUGUUGAUUGAUGCCGAAGCGCAUUUUGCAACUAGUGUUUGCGUUAUCUUGAAACAGAAACCUCUUCUAUUUUCCGCUCACACCAGAGCACCCUUUGAACACGCUUCUCCUCAGCGGUUCUUUAAAGGUAGUGUAUUGGGGCUACUGCGUAAUUCCGUACCAGAAACAAUCAGAAGAGGCCGCCGCAGACAGAUUCAGACACGCCUGGUUACCAACAAUCGCAAGUACCUAACAAUAAUAAGUUUGCAUCGUACUGACUGAAAAAAGCAUGAGAGUGCUUGACGGGUUAGAGACUGAAACCAAGAGCGGAUCCAGCUUUCAAGUAAGGGGGGGUCAUCUAGUAAAUUCUAUUCAAUUACAAUAAUAAAUCUAAUUAAACAAGUAUUGUAUUGUUAUAUGUCAUAAUAAUUUUAAUCAAAUAACAAAAUCAAUUUUCCUUUUUUGUCCGCAAAACGAGUUAUAACUUACUCCACUUCAAUCGGUAUGGUUUUGUGAAUGUGGAGAAGUGUCAGUCCAGUUGAGCGCUCUUUUGCCAUUGAAGCUCUAAUGCCCGGUUUCUGGUAGAUUCCCUUAUUGAUUCGAUAACUAUCGGUCCGCUACAGUUGUAGGUUCUACAACUUAUGGUGGGUUUCUCAACGUGUCUAAACGCCAAAGCUAGUGGAUCCAUAACUAUCGAGUCUAUAAAGUAGGCAAAGCUUGGUAUUCUGUGGGUAAAGCCAUAGAAUGAAGAAGAAGAAUCUGUAAAAAGUCCUGUCCGAAGUGGAAUCUUUUAUUAUAUUCAAAAACUUUGCUUCCCUUUCACACUCAAAUUUUGCUCCCAAAAAUGUUAUUAUUGUUUUCCCAAAACGUGUUCUCUGCUCACAGCUGAUUUCGUAUGACUUUUGAUACUAAUGGCAAAUACGCUUGCGUGCGCUGCUCCUACAACUUACUCCGUGAGCGACCGUUUAUCGGUUCUUCAAUGUAAAGAACCGCUAGCUCUUAUCGAACGUUUCAGAAACCCAUUUUUCCGACUUGUAGAUCCGUUUAGGCUAUUGGAACUAUAAAGAUCGUUUCAGAAACCGGGCAUAAGCCUAGUUUUGAGCUUUCGAAGUGUGGAAAAGGACCUUUCUGCCGUCGCUACACUAACUGGUAGUGAAGCAAGUAUGCACAAAAAUUUUCUUACAUUGGGGUAUAUGUCAGCGUCACAAUUUUCUAUAAGAUUAGAAAUUGACUGCGGAAUAUUCCCAAUGCGCUUCCAUUUUACCCUCCACAGGCGAUAUUCGAUUAUAAUUAUUGAAACUGGAGUGUUGUCUAUUAGCAGUUUAUGAUCGUUUGCAAGCUUUUUGACAGUUUCAAUGUAUUCAUCCUCAUUAGCACAAUCGACUUUUGGAAUAAAAACCCCGAGUUGAAAUAAGUUAAGUACGUCUGGAGACAGACGAUCCUCUAGAUCGUUUAUUACCGAAUCUAGAAGAGGGAUAUAUACAGCUAUGCGGAAAUAUUCUUCAGCCAAUUGAGCAGGUUGGUUAUUGGCUCUAUGUGUUUGCCUUGAUACUAUCCGGGGGCAUCUAAUAUCUACAUCUAGCUGCUCAACUACUUCUCUUGCUUCUUCAAAAAGCUGACGGAAAACUGGAUCAACCUUUUCCCUUUUUGUUCGCAGUAUACUCAUUGUAUCAGUAAUUGCAUCCGUAGCCCUUUUUAAAUCAAUCAGUUUGUAUUCGACAUUCGCUAAAUGUUCAAGUAUUGUCUUUUAUUUUCUAAUCUUAAUACUAUGAAUAAGAAACAAAAUAUGUAUGUAUAUAUUGCCUAAAACAUCACUCAAGCAGAUAGAUGAUACGAUGAAGUCCGAACUUCGCAAUGUUUGUAGUAAGCAAUGCGCAUCAUUAGCAGUUUUAUGGUCUUGCCAAAUAGAAAUCUUUUGUGGAGCGUUACAAAUUUUCACUAGAUUGUCUCCCUGAAAUUGUAGGUACCCAUCAUGCCUCUCGACCCAAAGUGUCUCACAGAUAUCUUGCAUUGAAACAAUGACGUAGCUAAAGUGCUGUUAAGAACGUGAUUGCUGCAAGGGCAACGUUGGGCAUUUACAGCUUUUUUUGACAGCUCUUGUACUUCACCUUUUGUAUUUGAAGCCAUUACAGAGCAGCUGUAGGUCCCAAUACCAACACACCAUGAUAAAUCUAUAUUAAAUUUGAGACAGAGAUUUUCAACAAUUUUUGCUAGUGCUGCACCUGUCAAUCGAGGCUCCAUAUUAUCUACAUUGCUAUCAACUGCAUCACUUCUCAUUGUGUCGUAAGUAUCACAGAAAGUUACAAAAUCUUCUUUUAUAAUACCAUUGAGAAAAUAUCUAAAUGAUAUAUCUGUAUGUCUGAUAUGUAUGUGAUAUAUCUGAUAUGUGAUAUAUCUGUAGUCUCAUCGAAUAAAAUUGAAAAGUAUUUA